ensembl:lncRNA
GAUCAGGCAGAACGUCAGGGCGGCCAGGCCCAGGCCAUAUGGUGCAUCCGAGGUCCUCCUUUGUAAUCCUGGGUAAUUGAAAUCCUCUUCCUCAUUCGGACGUGGAAAGCCUUCCUCGUACAGAGUACCUCAUGAGAAUAAGAUGCUGAAGAAUCAAGGUCUCUUGACCUGUGCCCUUGACUCCAAAGAAGUAGCCCUUCAACUCAGGAGCACCACUGGUGUCCUCUGGAGCCCCCACACCACGCUGUUCGUAAUGACGACUACUGCAUUGGCACGUCUCGUUGGGGUUCAACUUCUGUCCCUGCAGCUCCUGAGCUGCGUGACAUGGGCAGGGGACAUCAACUUUCUGAGCCCGAGUUGCCUCUUCUGGAAAGCGGGAGUCAUGCCGUCUUGCUCGCAGGGUGGUGGCAGUCAUGUGACCACGGCCAAAGGACCAUCAACCAGAUUACGGUUUUAAGCAUGUCUCUGCAGGUCCCAGGGCUUGUGGCUGUGCCCUGCCCCUCUUGGGAACAGCGGGGGCCCAGGAACCUCUCUGCAGCACGGCUACCACCCAACCUCACCCGGCCACGAGCGAGGAUCCAGGAGAGGACGCGGGCCCUGGCAGAGCUGAUCAGUAUCCUUCGCUCUUAACUGGUGGAUGUGCUAGAAGGGGAGGUGACGGCUGCAGGCAGCCCCUCGCGUGGUAAAGAGAAUGAAGACAGCACAUUCAGAGAUGUCAGGGGAGGGGAGAGAGAAGGGUGUCUGAGUGUCGCCUCCCUGCUCCCAGGAGGCCCUUGUGUCUGCUUCCUGCCUGUCUUAUCUGGAUUUAUUUUUGUCAUCCACUAACUCCUCCAUUUUACUUCUGUUCAUUCAUUUGAAUUCUGUUUCUUUUUUCUUUUCUUUCCCCCUUUUUUUGCAAGUAAAAGAG